rnacentral:lncRNA from 1 species
AUCUUGAAAUUUUAUUUAAAAUUAUAUAAAGAAAAAAUUAGGUGUUUUAAUUUUUUUAUUCAUGUAAGUAUUUUUUUUCUCUAACCAUUUUAUUUAAUAAUGAAUGUUUUUUUAGUUGGAGCUAGUGUAGAGAUGAAAAAAAAUGUUUGAGUGAGAGGAAUGAAGGAGAAAGGGUUAAGAGGAAUGAAGGAGGUGAGGAAGGGUUUGAGAUUUCUUUUUUUAGUCUUGAGAAUGAAAAUUAUUAAAAUAAAGCAAGUGUUUCUGAUUUUUUUUUUCAAUUGAGGUUAGAGUAUGGAUGAAAGAGAAAAUGCUGGAGUGAAAGAGAUGAGAGAGAAAGAGUUGAGAGGAAUGAGAGAGAUGGGUAAGGGUUUGGGGUUUUUUUUUAUUUUUUU